CACCUGCCUCGUGGACCCAAGCAUGACGGCCCAGGACAGGGCGAGGAGUGCGAGAUACUGAAGAACUUCUCCUCGCCCUGCACUGUCAUCUCUGCUCUGCAGAAAACCUCCACAAGCCACCUGAAGAACACAUGGGGGAAGGUUCCCGGAGGGGCCCUCCACGUUUGCCCCCCCAGAGAGCAACCCCCAGAGAGUGAAGGA